rnacentral:rRNA from 1 species
UAGAGUUUUGAUCCUGGCUCAGGAUGAACGCUGGCGGCGUGCCUAAUACAUGCAAGUCGAACGCACUUUCGUUGAAUGAAUUAGAGGUGCUUGCACCGAAGAUGAUUUUAGCUAUAAAGUGAGUGGCGAACGGGUGAGUAACACGUGGGUAACCUGCCCAGAAGUGGGGGAUAACACCUGGAAACAGAUGCUAAUACCGCAUAACAAAGUAAACCGCAUGGUUUACUUUUAAAAGAUGGCUUCGGCUAUCACUUCUGGAUGGACCCGCGGCGUAUUAGCUAGUUGGUGAGAUAAAGGCUCACCAAGGCAGUGAUACGUAGCCGACCUGAGAGGGUAAUCGGCCACAUUGGGACUGAGACACGGCCCAGACUCCUACGGGAGGCAGCAGUAGGGAAUCUUCCACAAUGGACGAAAGUCUGAUGGAGCAACGCCGCGUGAGUGAUGAAGGCUUUAGGGUCGUAAAACUCUGUUGUUGGAGAAGAACGUGUGUGAGAGUAACUGCUCAUGCAGUGACGGUAUCCAACCAGAAAGCCACGGCUAACUACGUGCCAGCAGCCGCGGUAAUACGUAGGUGGCAAGCGUUAUCCGGAUUUAUUGGGCGUAAAGCGAGCGCAGGCGGUCUUUUAAGUCUAAUGUGAAAGCCUUCGGCUUAACCGAAGAAGUGCAUUGGAAACUGGAAGACUUGAGUGCAGAAGAGGACAGUGGAACUCCAUGUGUAGCGGUGAAAUGCGUAGAUAUAUGGAAGAACACCAGUGGCGAAGGCGGCUGUCUGGUCUGUAACKACGCKAGGYCGAAAGCAUGUGGCUGCCA